rnacentral:rRNA from 1 species
AUACGUAGGGUGCAAGCGUUAAUCGGAAUUACUGGGCGUAAAGCGUGCGCAGGCGGUUUUGUAAGACAGAGGUGAACUCCCCGGGCUCAACCUGGGAACUGCCUUUGUGACUGCAAGGCUAGAGUACGGCAGCGGGGGAUUGAAUUCCGCGUGUAGCAGUGAAAUGCGUAGAUAUGCGGAGGAACACCGAUGUCUAAGGCAAUCCACUGUGUCGGUUGUGACUCCCAUGCCCGACACGGGGGUGAACAAACAGGAGUAGAGACCCUGGUGGUCCACGCCAUAGACGAUGUCAACUGGUUGUUGGGUCUUCCGCGUGUACGUACUGAACCUAACGCAUGAAGGUAACCCCCUGGUGAGUACGGUCUCAAGGUGGAAACUCAAAUGAAUUGACGGGG